CUCCCUCACCAAGUCAUACACGCUGUGGAGAGCAGGAACCAUGUCUCACACUUCUAGAUCCCCCACAACUUCUGGCUUAAGACUUUGCACAUGGCAGAAGCGAGAUUUGUUAGAUAAGUGAACAGACGUGUCCGCAUGGUGUCUGUGGGCAUGAUGGAGUGGGCAGGGGGCAGGCGGGGAGUUUUAGAGAGCGGAGAAACUUGAGGAGACCAUGUCUUCAACCGUGUCAGCAUUUACAACCAGGAAACUCCCAUCAUUCAGGCCGACCGCGAGGGCUUUCCCAUCGGGGGAGAAGGCACAGCAUCUUCCACCUGCAAACGAACUCACAACACCACGCUCGUUAGGCCUGACUUGACUACCCAACAACCAAGGGGAAAGCGGGAGAGACCUGCGUGUGCGCUGACACAUGAACGUGGGCUGUGUCUUUAGCGCUGCUCGUGAGAAGAACUAAAACGACAUCAUUUAAUCAUCUCUUCCCUCCAAACCCAAGGACAGUGAUCACCAUGGUAAACACACAUUUUCAA